UAAGCAUGCUAAAAAUGCACAACCGUAAAUAAUUUUCAGGUUCUGUUCACAAUACCUCAGCAAAUAAUUUCAGUUUUUAUUGAAACUGUUAUACUUAUCCUACGUCAUUGUCACCGUCAGAAGAUGAGGCUGAAAACGAUGUUCUGUAUGCUCCGAUGCUGCUGAGAGAUGUUUUUUUUCGAGCUCCAUCGUCUUGCCCUUUACCUUAAAUCUAUCUCCGGGACAGAACGCAGAAGUUGCUCUACUCAUUCUAUUUGAAGAUAUGAAGAAGACAUAUCCAGCAAAGGAAAACAUGACCUUAUCCACUGUACCGACAAAACAUUGGGGUGGCAUCCAGGGGAUACUGAGACGAUCGUCCUUGAAGCACCAAUAAUUUUCGCGCAGGAUUGGUGUCGUCAGCAGAUAAAAUCAGGGGCUCAACAGUAUCUGAAAAGUAGAAGAUUUCAGUAAUUGAUGAAAAUCACUAAUAAUUGAUAAAGCUCUUCAAAUGUAUGACUCUAAUAAAAAUAUAUAUGAG